rnacentral:lncRNA from 1 species
CCCUCCAAGGUUAUGGCACCUAAUAAGAGACAGAAGCAACUUGUUGAUAAUGGACCUGAUGAAGCCUCCAAGAUUAUGGCACCUAAUAAGAGACAGAAGCAACUUGUUGAUAAUGGACCUGAUGAAGCCUCCAAGAUUAUGGCACCUAAUAAGAGACAGAAGCAACUUGUUGAUAAUGGACCUGAUGAAGCCUCCAAGAUUAUGGCACCUAAUAAGAGACAGAAGCAACUUGUUGAUAAUGGACCUGAUGAAGCCUCCAAGAUUAUGGCACCUAAUAAGAGACAGAAGCAACUUGUUGAUAAUGGACCUGAUGAAGCCUCCAAGGUUAUGGCACCUAAUAAGAGACGGAAGCAAUUUGUUGAUAAUGGACCUGAUGAAGCCUCCAAGGUUAUGGCACCUAAUAAGAGACAGAAGCAACUUGUUGAUAAUGGAACAGAUGAAGCCUACUUAAUCGGGAUGCAAAAGUUUUUGGAUUAUGCUUUUGGAAGAACAGAAGAACUAUAUGAAAUACGAUGUCCAUGUGUCAAAUGUUGCUACACAACUUUAGGAACACGCGAAACAAUCGAGUCACAUUUGAAGGUUUAUGGAAUAAUUCAAAAGUAUUCUUUAGGGGUGUCUGGAAAUGAUUCACCAGGUGCUAUAGGUGUGGGACGAGGCAAAGAACAGGAGGUUAGAUCUAUGCGCUCUAUGGGGGCAUCUGGAAAUGAUGUAGGAUCCUUCCAUCAAAAUUCUCUUUACGCUGGUCAAAGUAUGGCAACACCUUCUAAUAGUACUAGUUCAGAUGCUACCAUAUCUGAUUAUUCUGGUGAAAGUAUGCCAUCUCAUUCUACUGGUACAAGUUCAGAUCCUACCACAUCUGCUGGUCAAGGAAUGCAGAGAACAAAUAAACACCCCUUGGUUCAUGACAAGGAACAAAUGCAAAUUGAUAUUACAUCGCCUCCGUCUACCGAUCAAAUUAUGCAAAACACCCUAAAUGUUGAAACAAGUAUGAUCUUGCAAUUCUACUGUGUUACGAAUUUGCAUGACUGAAUUAUAAUGCUAAAGUAUUUACUAAACAUGAAUUCAAGUAUGAAGUUGGAAAGAAUAUAUGGUAUAAUCAUAAAUUUAUGUAUAUGGCUUUUAUAUUGUUUGCAUAACAUUUCAGACAUUUCUAAAUUAUAUGCAAAUGUAGGUUCAUGUACUACUGGAAAGGUAAGAAGAGGUCGAGGACAGAACAAGUGCCAAGAAGUUGCAUCACUUCAAGCCGGACAGAAGCUGAAAGUGACAUUUUAUAAUAAUCGAACUGUUGGAAGGAAUAGCAAUCUAUUUUCCAGGCACUUGGGAAAAUUAGUUCGUGACCAUAGCAUGUGUCCAUUAGGAGUAUCAUCAUGGGAUGACAUUGAGGAAGAAAAGUUAAAUCACAUGUGGGCAGCUGUUGAGGUAACACGUGUUCAAUUUGCUUAUCGGCUCUUUGCUAACCUGGAAAACACCUUUUGCUUAUGUGGACAACAUAAUUGUCAAUUUGUAGGUUUAUGUUAGCCAAAUUGGUGUAAUAGAUGUGAUGGUGUCAUGGAGUAGGUUUAGAGCUUUAUUAAGAAAGCUUUGAGGACUCUGUAGUUUGGUAGAGCCAGAGUGUGCAAUUGAUCUUGAUCUGGACCUCAAUUUUGUGUUUGCAUUUUGACAAAUGUCCUUUAAAUUUGUACUAGCCUUCUUGUUAGUGGCAUUGUAUGGGUUGCUAUUUGGAAAAAAAUAAACUAAUAUUCCUUACUUGGUAUCAAUAUGCAACUAUUAGAUACAGUAAACAAGAAUUCACCAUGUCUCUUUAAAGAAUAUCCUGGUUGUAUCACUUUUUGACUGGUUAAAAGCUGCUUUACCUUGUACUUUUUUCAUUUUAAUAGUUACAGACUUACAGUUUCUUAAAACAAAAAGGAAGCUGAUCCAGUACACUGUCUUUCUCUUUCUCAUCUCAUAAAAAAGGGGGUACAACAAGGAGCUGAUCAAUUGUCUUAUUGCCCAUAUUCUUGGUUCAAUCACCUUCCUAAACUGGUUAUGCUUGAAGCAGGACCCUCCUUAAUAUGGAGCAGUAAGCCCAAAAAUGGAAAUACAAAUGGAUUUUCUUGUGAGGGAAGUGAUUGGGUGUGAUAAUUUACAGUAGAGAUUACUAUAAGUGAAAAAGGGAUAUCCAAUAGUCUUAAUCCCUGAAAAGGUUCUUUUUUGUACUUUUUGCAAGUAGAGGUUCAGCUAUUGAUUUUGGCUUAUUCUAAUCUGGUGUUAGGGAAACAGAUAUCUGCUAUUGAUAAUCUGGUUUUUGGAGUAAUGCAUAGAUAAAAUUUUAAAAACUUGUUACGUAGCAGAAAACUGGACUCUUCGCUAGGUGGCACAUUGGAGAUACAGUCAAUCUUUUUGGAGUUGUGCAAGUAUCAUGUAUGCCACUAGUCUACAUAUCAUCUAUGUUGAACCUGUGAGUGAAACAGCGGGGGAUCCUCUGCUGUGAGCAUCAAUAAUCUUGUAAUUUCAUCAUACUUGGUGGUUUUCAUUAGACUAAGAAGCAUUUAAACACUGUGAUUUUCAUCUUACUAUGAACUAUUAUUCUUGGUACUGGCAGGAAGAUGAUCUCUGCAGUUAUGUUUUCAUAUGCAGCAAUUAUUUUUUAUAUAUGUAUUAUUUUUUACUAAAAUAUGUUUAUCUUAACCAAAAAAAUUGAUUUAUUGUAGGAAAAAUUUGAGAGUGAUGAUAUGGAUAGUCAUCGCGGUCACAUUUUGGGAUGGAUGAAAGAAUUAUGGAACAAAUGGAGAGGACAAUUACAUUUUAAGUUUGUGAAAGGUAAGCCAAUCCAAGAGGCUCUUAAGAAUACACCAAAGGGCGUUGACAAGAAACAAUGGGA